rnacentral:rRNA from 1 species
AGCUCCAAUAGCGUAUAUUAAAGUUGUUGCAGUUAAAAAGCUCGUAGUUGGAUUUCUGUUUUGAGCGUCCGGUCCGCCUUUUUAAGGUGUGUUACUAGGAUGUUUGAGACAUUUUUUGUGAGGAUGUCCUUCUGCCAUUCAGUUAGUGGUUGGAUAGACUUGCAUCGUUUACUGUGAAAAAAUUAGAGUGUUUAAAGCAGGCGUUUGCUCAUUGAAUACAUUAGCAUGGAAUAAUAAGAUACGACCUUGGUGGUCUAUUUUGUUGGUUUGCACACCAGGGUAAUGAUUAAUAGGGACAGUUGGGGGUAUUCAUAUUUCAGCGUCAGAGGUGAAAUUCUUGGAUCGCUGAAAGAUGAGCUUAGGCGAAAGCAUUUACCAAGGAUGUUUUCA